CUUCUUUUCUCUGUGAAUUUAUAUGGCCGUCCGCGGACAUUCCCGGCGUCUGGUGGUGGGCGAGUUGCCGUUCGGGUGCUGUUGGCGGAGUCUCUGGUCUGGCCUGUUUAGGCUGUGGCGGUGAAAAAUUUGCGGUUGCUGGUUGCGGAAGUUUCGCCCCGUCUGCGCUUCGCCUCACCCUGGCCUCGCCCCGCCCCCCGGCGGCCAGACCUGCGGGUCCGGCAGGAGGAAGAGCACGCCCUACUCGCGGCAUGCGCACGGAGGACCGGCGCCGUCGAUGACGAAGGGUCCUGAGCACGGGCGAACUGGAAGCCCGUCCUGGCCUCCUGGGUGCUGGUGUGGCAGGCCCUACCAAUACAUGCGCAUGUUCUUUUAGUGAUUCGAGCUAACUACUUCCAACUUCAAUUGCCUGUCAGCGCAGAGUAAUAGAUGUUGGCCAACACGUAGUAUUGCAGCCGCAGCAGAUUACCUAGAAAAAGGAACGAUAGUUCUAUUAUUGGCUCAGCAGGAUAACAGCUAAGCCAGUAUCACGCCUGUGUAUGUAUUUAUUUCUCGACCAACACACCGACUUUGACUUCAUUGAUCAUGGUACAACUACGUUAAAUGUUUUUUACUAGAUAUUCAAGUAUUGAGUCCAUGCGUUUUGAAAAUUGAUGAAAUCGAU